rfam:Cyanothece sp. CCY0110 1101676644527, whole genome shotgun sequence.
AAUAAACUUUGGUUUAUACCGAAGACAGCAGGAGCAAAAUUUGCUUAAAUAUCCUGCCGAGGUUGAAGCCUGAAGCCAUAAAAUCCAGAAAAAUAGUAGGUUUUGCUUGCUAUUUUUAUGAUGGGAUU